rnacentral:rRNA from 1 species
UGGGGAAUCUUCCGCAAUGGACGAAAGUCUGACGGAGCAACGCCGCGUGUAUGAUGAAGGUCUUCGGAUUGUAAAGUACUGUCAUUGGGGAAGAACGGUUUUCUUGAAAAGAUUGAGAAGACAUGACGGUACCCAAGGAGGAAGCCCCGGCUAACUACGUGCCAGCAGCCGCGGUAAUACGUAGGGGGCAAGCGUUGUCCGGAAUUAUUGGGCGUAAAGGGCGCGUAGGCGGGCCUUUAAGUCCGGUGUGAAAGAUCAGGGCUCAACCCUGAGAGUGCAUCGGAAACUGGAGGCCUUGAGGACAGGAGAGGAAAGUGGAAUUCCACGUGUAGCGGUGAAAUGCGUAGAUAUGUGGAGGAACACCAGUGGCGAAGGCGACUUUCUGGACUGUAACUGACGCUGAGGCGCGAAAAGCGUGGGGAGCAAACAGGAUUAGAUACCCUGGUAGUCCACGCCGUAAACGAUGAGUGCUAGGUGUAGAGGGUAUCGACCCCGUUCUGUGCCGCAGUUAACACAAUAAGCACUCCGCCUGGGGAGUACGGCCGCAAGGUUGAAACUCAAAUGAAUUGACGGGG